ACACCAGCAGGCGCUAAAAGCCCGUGGUAGUCCGUUUGGCUAAAUUAUCUAUUCAUCCUCCUAUGGUCGAAUUUCUCCGCGUUCCUAGGACAAAGUCUGCUCUCUUAACGUAACGGCGCAACCCCAACCCCACCUCGAACCCAAAUGCUCCGCGACAAAGACCCAACCCGGAAUCCCGCCCCAGCACGUCCAGCAGCACCGCAAAACCAUCGUAGCAGAGUUAAUGGUAAAAGUAAAGGAGACUUGGCGAUGUGCUGUAGCGCUUCAGCUCAUGGGAAAGUGCGCCAAUGAUGUGUGUCUGCGCGCCACAAUAUGUAAAAUGAUGCAUCGUACAGAGUUGGUUAAUUUCAGCCUCGGCGUGUUGCGCCACGGAACACCGAAGGAAGGAGUUGUGCGCCGCGUGGCAAUGGCAUUGUUGCUGGAAGACAGCGGUUGCAGUGGUGUACGGCGGCUGCAAUGGCGUACGGCAGUGGCAUUGUUGCGUGGAAGAGGGGCCGUAGAGACGUAACCCCGGAUCCCGGUCUGCGCAGGAAGGAAGACGUGAAGAAACUGAAGAGAGAGAGAGAGAGAGAGAGAAACAGAGAGGAAGGGGAUGGGAAACAUGAACACCCAGCCACACAACAUGAGUUUCCCAGCCAGCUGGAAAUCAAUCCAGCCCCGAAACCAAUCCUCCAUCUCCGUACCUUCGUGGGAGCUGAGAGCGUGUCUUUCUCCCUUUCUCCCCCCCCCCAUCCCAGCCUUCCCAGCUUCCCCUUUCCUUCCCCGGCAGGGUCACGGGGUCCCCUUUCGAUCGGGCCUAGGCUACCCCUCGGCAGAACCCCCUACCCCCCUGGUCCACUACCCCCACCGCGAUUAAUCACACACCGCGCAAGCCAUGCACCCGCAAAUCGGACCCCGCGCC
rnacentral:lncRNA from 1 species